CGUCAGUACUAGCGGUGACCAGGAGUUUUACAGUGUAGCUCACGAGCCUGACGGGAAGUCAGUGAGGCAGGUGAGCAGGUGAGCCUAGUGGUUACCUCUUAUGACAGGUGAGCUUCACCAACUAAGUCAACGUGAGCUGGAGUUAAACAAGUAGUCAGUUAAUAGUUCAACCGUUUAACUGCCGGAGCCACGAGACCACCGGAAGUGCCCAGUUUGCUAAAGACGCGCUAAAUGUCGCGGUUUUAUUGAGCGAGAAGUUCCAAUGGAGAAGAUCCUACGAUACUGGUAGAUGGCGAGCCUCCCAGCUUGAUCUCUAGGAGCCAGGGUCUACAUUUCCACUGAACGAGCAGGAUGAACCAUCGUCUUUGUGUGUGUAACGCCCCUCACCAUCUGCAGCCGUCGCCUGCAACCUGUCACUCACCUGUCAGCUGUGUCAACACUCACCUCACACACGCUGGCGCACGCACACACUCAAAAGUGUUCUUUGUACCUGCCACUCUCUUCUUUGGGGUCCUUCUCAUCGAUGACUGCAAUCACCACCAAUUUGCCUGGAGGUGGCAGGACAGGGAUUACAAAUCACAAUCACACGCACAACAAAGAGAGGCUGAGAAGACAAUAGACGGGCAGAUAAGAGGCUUCGGAGGAGACGAAUCACCCCUCAACACCGGGGAAGAGAAAAGAGCGAGUCACCGGGAGCCCUUUAUUCAUUCAUCACUCAAAAACACUGAGCUACUAGCUAUGGCUUUUCUAGUUGGUUUAACAGGAAACAAGUGGUCACUUUCUGGUAGAAGAGCUAUUCUGGUGCCAUCCAAAACCCGAACCCACUAACAUGACAAAAAGGGCUACUUAAAAAAAAAAGGGUUACUAAAAAAGGUCUGUUAUUCAGACUUUUAUGGGUUGGAGGCUUGAACCCCCUUGUUAUGAGGACGAGAGUACCAGCCUGCCCCCUGGUGGCCUCUUGAUGGUGGUGAUGUGUCGAGGUUGAGGUUAUGUAAAGACAGCUGACGUUCUGGCAUCAUGGUGAGAGACAAAUUACAUUUUUUUUUGUGUGUGUGAUUAUAAAUGUUCCUUCACUGAGCAUUUGCAGUGAUUUUUAUUUUAGAGUUUUGUACUUUGAGCAUUUGGAGGCUUUUCCUGAGGGGCAGAUGGAGGAUAAUAUGUCUGAAAACCAGAUACACCAUAGAAUAUAAUACAACUAUUAAACUGUUAAUAAAUAAUUUCUGCUUUAAUCACCUACUAAUCUUCACCUCUGUCUGUUCUAUCCCUUGAAUUUGAAUUUUGACCAAUAAAUAGACGCCUUGUAUUUUAGAGUUUUGAGUCAGCACGACCUACGAUAAGUGUGACGGAGCUUUGAGAACAUUAAAGGAGAUAUUUUACCCUUACGUUGGGUCACUACUACAAUAGGUUUACAUGCUUUAAUGCUCAAAUUACUCAGUCAGUUUACUUCUACUUCUACAUCUACAUUCCCCACACUCUGUUUCAGUCCCGACACACCUGAUCAUCCACUGCUAACAGCAACAUACCAGCUCCAUUAAAUGAAUUCCAGCAUACAAAACCUGCCGCCAGUCAUAAAUUAUGCAAAUAUAGCGACAUGGUGACAUAGUGUGAUGUCACAAAGUAACGGAAAUAAAAGGCGGGACUACUGCGAAGGACUUUCAGGAGUUGUGUAUUAUGUUGGAGAGACUUUUUAAACUUUCAAGAUGUUUUACAUGCACAGGAACCUGCAUAAAGCACUGAAGUACAGGGUAAACAAACAAAAAAGCAUAAUAGGUCUGCUAUUAAACAUCACUCCACCACCACACAGUAAGACCAAGUGCAUGAAACCUGAUACUUAACUAAAAAGACUUCAGAGACGAGGCUGUUUCUAUUUAUUUUCGCAAAUUCUCUUCAAUCUGAACUCUGCUAAGUUAUUGUACCGGACUGAAUCCUCAGACUCUGUCCUCUUUAAUCAGUCACACAGGGUUUAUCCAAUUAAGAUGCUUUACAGACUCUUUUGUGUUCAGAACUAGCAACACUAAGCAGCAAAUGUGCUGUAAAUGGGUCAGGAACUGACUGUAAGCGGCGACAAAUGUAAGUAAAAUCCAACCGUUGGGCAUCACCGGCUCUCAGUAAACUGCACAUAAAUAGCUAAAAUACUGUGUCUAAUGUUAGAGAGCACAGCUUUCUCUGCACACAGCAGCUUCUAUUUACUGCCUUUAAAAGAGACACUGUGUAUUUCACUUGCUCGCUUUCCUGGAGAGAGAAAAGUGUAUGUAAAUAAAGUAUGGUCUAAAUCUGGAGGGAUUUCCUUCUGUCAAUUAACACUUGAUGUCUUUACAAGGAACUGUCGACAGGCGCUGCUGUAAAAUGACUGAUUUUUAAUCCCAAAGUCAAUCUGUGGUAGAUUGGAUAUGUGGCGGUGGGAAGCUAAAUAUUAGGGACUUUACUGUGACAUGGAAUUAAGGGGGCAGGCUGAGCAAAGCUGUGUGCACAGCGCUGAUGCACUUCACAUGACAUAUGCUGAUUCUCAGCAAGUUUGGCUCCAUAAUCAUUAAAAGUACAUAGGAGACAAGAGAUUCUGCUCAUUUAUGAAUCAUAAAUAUCUUAGAUGUUUCAAAUAUCUAUUGAUAUUGCAAUAAUAAAUAAUUAUAUAUAAUUAUAUUAUAAAUAUCAAGAAUGAUGUAGUGAAAAUCUGAUAUAAUGUCAGCCGACUAUUAGCUUAGUCUGCCAAGAUGAAGCCUUGGACAUUGGAAUAUUGAUAAUGAUAAUAUUUUGUUGCAGCCCUUUAAUUAAACUGCACUUAUAAAUUAUUCAUAGUUAUUUAAACAAGUCAUGAUCGUUUUGGAGAGAAACACACAUAAAACGUAGUUAAAAAAGGCCCAAAAAUAACUAAAAUGCAACUUGAAAGUGAAGAAGAAAUUC